rnacentral:lncRNA from 1 species
GCCCACUUCACAAAGUGGACCUGUCCCCACUUCACAAAGACACUUAGAAAUAACCUGCGGCGACCGUUAGGUUCACAUCAGAGUGUUUGGAAGAGUUGACAAUGAGCGGAACGUCACAGCCCGCGCGUGGGGUCCAGCUGUGUCCGUCCUCACUUUUCAUGCUCGAAGAGAGACUCUGAAGCAGCCUCCUCACCAAGCACCAAGCCCAGUGCGGGACUUGUCCUCACCACCGCAGGAUCACAACCCAGCUGAAACCCAGAGUCGGUGCCCAACUGACUGAGCCACCCAUGUGCCCCCAUUUUGGCCCCUUUAAAGUCUUUCCU